AGAGCGCAAGGGGAAUGCCUUGGCAUCAGGAGCCGAUGAAGGACGUGACAAGCUGCGAAAAGCUUCGGGGAGCUGCAAAUGAGCAUUGAUCCGGAGAUAUCCGAAUGGGGAAACCCGGUACGGCAAUACCGUAUCAACGUGCUGUGAAUCAAAUAGCAGUACGUAGGGAACCGCCUGAACUGAAACAUCUAAGUAGGGCGAGGAAAAGACAUCAACCGAGAUUCCGUAAGUAGUGGCGAGCGAACACGGAGGAGGCCAAACCGGAGGAUUUAUUCUCCGGGGUUAGGACUUGCAUCACGAUCAGAAGAAUCUAACAGAACGGUAUGGGAAGGCCGGCCACAGAGGGUGAGAGCCCCGUACGUGAAAGAGGAAGCUGACAGCGAGUAUCCAGAGUACCGCGGGACACGUGAAACCCCGCGGGAAAACGGGUGGACCACCAUCCAAGCCUAAAUACUACCUGAUGACCGAUAGAGGAGCAGUACCGUGAGGGAAAGGUGAAAAGGACCCCGGGAGGGGAGUGAAAGAGAACCUGAAACCUUGUGCUUACAAGCACUCAAAGCACGUUAAAGUGUGAUGAGGUACUUUUUGUAGAACGGUCCGGCGAGUUAUAGUAACGAGCAAGCUUAAGGUAUUCAGUACCGGAGGCGAAGCGAGAGCGAGUCUGAAUAGGGCGCAUAAAGUUCGUUGCCAUAGACCCGAAACCGGGUGACCUAACCAUGAGCAGGCUGAAGUGAGAGUAAAAUCUCAUGGAGGGCCGAACGCACGUUCGUUGCAAUGACCGGCGAUGACUUGUGGUUAGCGGAGAAAUUCCAAUCGAACUCGGAGAUAGCUGGUUCUCCCCGAAAUAGCUUUAGGGCUAGCGUUAUCUUAGAUUACCGGAGGUAAAGCACUGAAUGGGCUAGGGGGCGAUAAGCUUACUGAACCCUAUCAAACUCUGAAUGCCGGAUAAUUGAUGGAUAGCAGUCAGACAGUGUGAGAUAAGUUUCAUUGUCAAAAGGGAAACAGCCCAGACCCACAGCUAAGGUCCCAAAUGUAUGCUAAGUGGAAAACGAUGUGGAGUUGCGAAAACAACCAGGAUGUUGGCUUAGAAGCAGCCACUCAUUAAAAGAGUGCGUAAUAGCUCACUGGUCGAGUGACUCUGCGCCGAAAAUUUAACGGGGCUAAACUAUACACCGAAGCUUGGGAUACAUCUAAUGUAUGGUAGGAGAGCGUUCUGUAUGGGGAGAAGUCGUAGCGAAAGCGGCGGUGGACUAUACAGAAGUGAGAAUGCCGGAAUAAGUAGCGAGAAUUAAGUGAGAAUCUUAAUGGCCGAAAGUCUAAGGUUUUUGGAGGAAGGUUCGUCCGCUCCAAGUAAGUCGGGAGCUAAGGUCAGGCCGAAAGGCGUAGCCGAUGCACAUACGGUUGAUAUUCCGUAACCAUCUGUAAUUUAAGCAAAGGGACACUUCAAAAGGGUGUGACCCGGGCGUUGGUUGACCCGGGCGUAAGGGACCGAAAUUAGAGUAGGGAAGCACACUUGGCUGAAGGCGAGAAAAGCUUUGCGUAUAGAAACAGAUGCCCGUACCGCAAACCGACACAGGUGGACAGGAAGAGAAUUCUAAGGCCAGCGGGAGAAGGGUAGUUAAGGAACUCGGCAAAUUGACUCCGUAACUUCGGAAUAAGGAGUGCUCGAAAGAGCCGCAGAGAAUAGGCCCAGGCGACUGUUUAGCAAAAACACAGGUCUCUGCCAAAUCGAAAGAUGAAGUAUAGGGGCUGACACCUGCCCGGUGCCGGAAGGUUAAGAGGAGGAGUGAGAGCUCCGAAUUGAAGCCCCGGUAAACGGCGGCCGUAACUAUAACGGUCCUAAGGUAGCGAAAUUCCUUGUCAGGUAAGUUCUGACCCGCAUGAAAGGCGUAAUGAUUUGGGCACUGUCUCAACAGCCCGCCCGGCGAAAUUGUAGUACCGGUGAAGAUGCCGGUUACCCGCGACAAGACGGAAAGACCCCAUGGAGCUUUACUGUAGCCUAAUAUUGGGUUUCGAUGUUGCAUGCACAGGAUAGAUGGGACACAGGGAAACAAGUGCUUUGGCAUUUGUGGAGUGGCCGUUGGGAUACCAUCCUUGCGAUAUUGGAAUUCUAACCUGCGCCUUUGAAUCAAGGCGGGGGACAUUGUUAGGUGGGCAGUUUGACUGGGGCGGUCGCCUCCUAAAGAGUAACGGAGGCGUUCAAAGGUUCGCUCAGCUUGAACGGAAAUCAAGCAAAAGAGUGCAAACGCAGAAGCGAGCCUAACUGCGAGACUGACGGGUCGAGCAGUAACGAAAGUUGGAGUUAGUGAUCCGGUGGUAUGUGAGUGGAAAUGCCAUCGCUCAACGGAUAAAAGUUACCCUGGGGAUAACAGGCUGAUCUCCCCCAAGAGUCCACAUCGACGGGGA
rnacentral:rRNA from 1 species